GACGGAGGGGGCAAGCGUUGUCCGGAAUCACUGGGCGUAAAGGGCGCGUAGGUGGCCCGACACGUCGGUGCUGAAAGCGCCGGGCUUAACCCGGCGAGGCGUGCCGAUACGGUCGGGCUCGAGGCAGGCAGAGGGUGGCGGAAUUCCGGGUGUAGUGGUGAAAUGCGUAGAGAUCCGGAGGAACGCCGGUGGCGAAAGCGGCCACCUGGGCCUGACCUGACACUGAGGCGCGAAAGCGUGGGGAGCGAACCGG
rnacentral:rRNA from 1 species